GUUGCUACUGUGGUCGUGGGGACAUACCCUCUUCGACUACUAUCAGGGAUUAUUUUGAUCUUGAGAGGCUGUUAUUUAUCUCUUGCUUAACGUAAGAUGAUUAUGUAAUAAGUUUUUAUAAGGACCACUACAAUGGUUUUCUUGGAAAUAAUAAAAUUGAAAGUAGUUUUCUUAUUAAUGGUCUCUUUCAGUUAUAUGUUGAUGUUUUUGUGAAUUGUAUCGAGCAAA
rnacentral:lncRNA from 1 species